CUCACGAACUGAGAGAUUAUGACCUGAACUGAAGUCAGAGGCUCAACCGACUGAGCUACCCAGGCAGCCUCCAAGGUCACUGUGUUCAUCAGCUCAAGCCUUAAAGGAAUCUGGUGGAUCAAAGUUGAAGAUUUUUAUCGUCAAGACCUGGAAAUAAACACUUCCUCAUUUU